GCAACUCGCCUGCAUGAAGCUGGAAUUGCUAGUAAUCGCGGAUCAGCAAGCCGCGGUGAAUACGUUCCCGGGUCUUGUACACACCGCCCGUCACACCAUGAGAGUUGGAAAUACCCGAAGCCUGUGAGCUAACAGUAAUGAGGCAGCAGUCGAAGGUAGAGCCAAUGAUUGGGGUGAAGUCGUAACAAGGUAGC
rnacentral:rRNA from 1 species